AUUGAACGCUGGCGGCAUGCUUUACACAUGCAAGUCGAACGGCAGCGCGGGCUUCGGCCUGGCGGCGAGUGGCGAACGGGUGAGUAAUGCAUCGGAACGUGCCCAGUAGUGGGGGAUAGCCCGGCGAAAGCCGGAUUAAUACCGCAUACGACCUGAGGGUGAAAGCGGGGGACCGAAAGGCCUCGCGCUAUUGGAGCGGCCUAUGUCGGAUUAGCUAGUUGGUGGGGUAAAGGCUUACCAAGGCGACGAUCCGUAGCUGGUCUGAGAGGACGACCAGCCACACUGGGACUGAGACACGGCCCAGACUCCUACGGGAGGCAGCAGUGGGGAAUUUUGGACAAUGGGGGCAAGCCUGAUCCAGCCAUGCCGCGUGCGGGAAGAAGGCCUUCGGGUUGUAAACCGCUUUUGUUCGGGAAGAAAUCCUCUGGGCUAAUACCCCGGGGGGAUGACGGUACCGGAAGAAUAAGCACCGGCUAACUACGUG
rnacentral:rRNA from 1 species